UAACCUGCUAAAUAGUUACGUUAACUUUGGUUGAUGAUUAACUUCUUAGAGGGACUAUAGACUUUUAGUCUAUGGAAGUUUGAGGCAAUAACAGGUCUGUGAUGCCCUUAGAUGUUCUGGGCCGCCCGCGCGUUACACUGAUGAAGGCAACAAGUAAUUCACCUUGGCCGGAAGGUCUGGGUAAUCUUUUGAAACUUCAUCGUGCUGGGGAUAGUCCUUUGCAAUUAUUGGACUUCAACGAGGAAUGCCUAGUAAGCGCGAGUCAUCAGCUCGCGUUGAUUACGUCCCUGCCCUUUGUACACACCGCCCGUCGCUAC
rnacentral:rRNA from 1 species